CCUACGGGUGGCAGCAGUGAGGAAUAUUGGUCAAUGGGCGGAAGCCUGAACCAGCCAAGUCGCGUGAGGGAUUAAGGCCCUGCGGGUCGUAAACCUCUUUUGCCGGGGAGCAGAGGUCCGGACGUGUCCGGGCCGGGAGAGUAACCGGAGAAAAAGCAUCGGCUAACCCCGUGCCAGCAGCCGCGGUAAUAGGGGGGAUGCGAGCGUUAUCCGGAGUUAUGGGGUUUAAAGGGUGCGUAGGCGGGCAUUUAGGCCGGCGGUCAAAUGUCGGGGCUCAACCCCGGCCUGCCGUCGGAACUGGGUGCCUUGAGUGGACGAGAAGUAGGCGGAAUGCGUGGUGUAGCGGUGAAAUGCAUAGAUAUCACGCAGAACCCCGAUUGCGAAGGCAGCAUACCGGCGCCCUACUGACGCUGAGGCACGAAGGUGCGGGUAUCGAACAGGAUUAGAUACCCUAGUAGUC
rnacentral:rRNA from 1 species